AGAGUUUGAUCCUGGCUCAGAACGAACGCUGGCGGCAGGCUUAACACAUGCAAGUCGAACGAGAAGCCUUCCUUCGGGAAGGUGGACAGUGGCAGACGGGUGAGUAACGCGUGGGAACGUGCCUUUCGGUUCGGAAUAACUCAGGGAAACUUGGGCUAAUACCGGAUACGCCCUUCGGGGGAAAGAUUUAUCGCCGAAAGAUCGGCCCGCGUCAGAUUAGCUAGUUGGUGGGGUAAUGGCUCACCAAGGCGACGAUCUGUAGCUGGUCUGAGAGGAUGACCAGCCACACUGGGACUGAGACACGGCCCAGACUCCUACGGGAGGCAGCAGUGGGGAAUAUUGGACAAUGGGCGCAAGCCUGAUCCAGCCAUGCCGCGUGGGUGAUGAAGGCCUUAGGGUUGUAAACCCCUUUCAGCGGGGAAGAUAAUGAC
rnacentral:rRNA from 1 species